rnacentral:tRNA from 1 species
GCGGUAAUAGCUCAGUUGUAGUAGCUGAUGGAGAGCGUUAGACUGAAGAUCUGAAGGUCCCUAGUUCGAUUUAUCGAUUCCCUGGGUUACCGCA